rnacentral:rRNA from 1 species
AUUGAACGCUGGCGGCAUGCUUUACACAUGCAAGUCGAACGGUAACAGCACUUCGGUGGCUGACGAGUGGCGAACGGGUGAGUAAUACAUCGGAACGUGCCUAGUAGUGGGGAUAACUACUCGAAAGAGUAGCUAAUACCGCAUUAGAUCUAAGGAUGAAAGCAGGGGACCUUCGGGCCUUGCGCUACUAGAGCGGCUGAUGGCAGAUUAGGUAGUUGGUGGGAUAAAAGCUUACCAAGCCGACGAUCUGUAGCUGGUCUGAGAGGACGACCAGCCACACUGGGACUGAGACACGGCCCAGACUCCUACGGGAGGCAGCAGUGGGGAAUUUUGGACAAUGGGCGCAAGCCUGAUCCAGCAAUGCCGCGUGCAGGAUGAAGGCCUUCGGGUUGUAAACUGCUUUUGUACGGAACGAAAAGCCCUCUUCUAAUACAGGAGGGUCAUGACGGUACCGUAAGAAUAAGCACCGGCUAACUACGUG